GACGAACGCUGGCGGCGUGCUUAACACAUGCAAGUCGAACGCUGAACCCGCUUCGGUGGGGGAUGAGUGGCGAACGGGUGAGUAACACGUGGGCAACCUGCCCCCGGCUCUGGGAUAACUCCAAGAAAUUGGGGCUAAUACCGGAUGUGACCGCUGGCCGCAUGGUCUGGUGGUGGAAAGGGUUUCCGGCUGGGGAUGGGCCCGCGGCCUAUCAGCUAGUUGGUGGGGUAAAGGCCUACCAAGGCGACGAUCCGUAACUGGUCUGAGAGGAUGAUCAGUCACACUGGAACUGAGACACGGUCCAGACUCCUACGGGAGGCAGCAGUGGGGAAUAUUGGACAAUGGGCGAAAGCCUGAUCCAGCCAUGCCGCGUGUGUGAAGAAGGUCUUCGGAUUGUAAAGCACUUUAAGUUGGGAGGAAGGGCAGUAAGUUAAUACCUUGCUGUUUUGACGUUACCAACAGAAUAAGCACCGGCUAACUACGUG
rnacentral:rRNA from 1 species